rnacentral:rRNA from 1 species
AUUGAACGCUGGCGGCAUGCCUUACACAUGCAAGUCGAACGGCAGCACGGGUGCUUGCACCUGGUGGCGAGUGGCGAACGGGUGAGUAAUACAUCGGAACGUACCUUAUCGUGGGGGAUAACGCAGCGAAAGCUGUGCUAAUACCGCAUACGCCCUGAGGGGGAAAGCGGGGGAUCGCAAGACCUCGCGCGAUUAGAGCGGCCGAUGCCUGAUUAGCUUGUUGGUGGGGUAAAAGCCCACCAAGGCGACGAUCAGUAGCUGGUCUGAGAGGACGAUAAGCCACACUGGGGCUGAGACACGGCCCAGACUCCUACGGGAGGCAGCAGUGGGGAAUUUUGGACAAUGGGGGCAACCCUGAUCCAGCAAUGCCGCGUGAGUGAAGAAGGCCUUCGGGUUGUAAAGCUCUUUUGUCAGGGAAGAAACACCGGCUCUAACACAGUCUGGGAAUGACGGUACCUGAAGAAUAAGCACCGGCUAACUACGUGCCAGCCGCCGCCGUAA